CUGAAUCAGGGUUUAUUUCAAUAGCUCUGUCAGAGUCUCGGAUGGCAGCAUUUGGCUUCUGUAAUUUGACGAAGACACUGGCUCUCUUGGCACACAGAGUGGCCAAGCGAGGGUUUAGCUUGAUGGCAUCUGUGAACAAGUCAAUGGCUUUCUGAAGCUCACCGUCAUUUAGAGUGUCGAUGGCAGCCCCCUUCUUUUCAUUUGCUUCAUUCAUCAUCUCCUCGGUUAUCUCUGCAUUUUUAUCUCCCAUUUCCUGAGGGGCAUCAGUGUCUUGUUCAGUUACAACUUCCUUGUCAACUUCUAGAUCGCUCUCCUCACUUGAUGACUCCUCUGUCUUAUGUUUUCCUCUGUCACUUUGUUUCUUUUUCUUCUUUAGUAUUUUCUUCUGACUUAGCUCUAUGAGUAGCAGGUGGUACUUUACCCACCCAUCUCCACCACGCUCUCCACCCACUCCCUCAGUGUGCAGGACUCUCGGGCCCUGCCUACACAUCUUCAGGAAGGCCAGAAGCUCGCACACUUUGUGGGGAUCCAUAGUGGAGAGGCUGGAAGCUUCAGGCGGUGGGCAGCUGUGGAGGCCUGAUGCCAGGCUCAGGAGCAGCUCAACGUGGCCAAGUAGAAGGGGCCCUGAUUCCCUUCUUAAAGCUGAGCUUUUGUGUGACCUGAAUCUGUUCUGGUCCUUUGCAUUCUGUCGCAGUCUCUGUGAGUUUAUAUAGUUAUCAGUACUUUCCUGUUUGGAGGACACUAUUUUCUUGGCAUUAUCUAUUAUUUCUGGCUUUUGAAACCUUUCUACCUUCUCUUCAACAUAGAUACCUGGGCUUUGAGGAGAAAAACUGAUAAAAACAUGCCAUUUAGUAAUGUAUGCUCUGAUAUCCUCUCACUUUCUGCAUUGUUGUCUAGUGUGACUCUCUGUGUAAAUUCUCAUCUACCCUGAGAAUAAGCUUCUCUUCUGAGUAUUGAAUCACACUCUGAUCUGAGUCCUGGUCUAGGGUGGCAUCUCUGGGUAUCUUAUGUGAAAUUGGUUGAAUGGGGUGGCAGAAUCACAAAGGCAUGGAAAUGGGAUAGAAGGAAAGCUUGAAAGGGCAGAGGGGAACAAAAAGACCCUAUGUGGUGGAGAUUGGCUCAUUCUCCUGUUUCAAUAUGCACAGUGAAUUCUUUAGCCAUAUGUGUCACUUCUUAAAUUAUUUCUUCUCCUUAAUUCCUCCCUUCUUUUUCUUGUGACAUUGUAUCCAUUGUCCAAACUUUAGUUGUCAUAUUAUUUCUCUGUGUUGCUCAAUUCUUAGCUUGAGACAAGUCAGUGUUAUCUGGCAAGAGAGAAAGUCUGUUGAGAAUUUGCCUCCACUAGUCUGGUGGCAAGGCAAAUCUGUGGGGAAUUGACUUGAUUAGUUAAUGUGAAAGAGCCUAGUCCAAUCCAUGUAAUGCCAGUGGGCAGGGUUACAUAAGAAGCAAACUGAGCAAGUCAUGUGCAGGGCCUCAAGAUCUGGAUCCUGCACUUCUGGGAGCCGGCCCCCAGUUAAUUCUGAUUGAUUCUUUCCUGCAAGUUACAGCUAGAGAAAAAAGAACUGGGAUUACACAAACUAUGCUGGGGAUACAAGUCUGAAUUAGCAUGAACAACAUAGAAUAAGUGAGAGACCUCAUCGCAUAACAUCAGAUAAGAGUCUAGGAUGGCAGUCCACUGAGAGACCUCAUCCAGAACCUGACUCAGACAGAUGGAGAGACCCACAGCCAAACAUUGGAUGGAGUUCUUUUGUGGAAGACUUGAGGAAAGGAUUCACGGACUAGGACUCCACAGGAAGAACAACAGAGUUAACUAACCUGCAUCCUUGAGGCUCUCAGAGACUAAACCACCAAUUAAAGGAUGUACACAGGCUGGAACUAGGCCCCUGGCAUAUGGGAGCAUAUGUGCAGCUGUUUUCCUGUGAGUCCCAAACAACUGCAACAGGAGCUAUCCCU
rnacentral:lncRNA from 1 species